rnacentral:rRNA from 1 species
UACGAAGGGGGCUAGCGUUGCUCGGAAUCACUGGGCGUAAAGCGCACGUAGGCGGAUUGUUAAGUCAGGGGUGAAAUCCUGGAGCUCAACUCCAGAACUGCCUUUGAUACUGGCGAUCUCGAGUCCGGGAGAGGUGGGUGGAACUGCGAGUGUAGAGGUGAAAUUCGUAGAUAUUCGCAAGAACACCAGUGGCGAAGGCGGCUCACUGGCCCGGUACUGACGCUGAGGUGCGAAAGCGUGGGGAGCAAACGGG